UCCGCAGGAAAGUACGAGCGGCGACCUGACGGAGAGAACGUAGGCGAAACGCGAAGAGGCGCAUUACCGAGGCAUAAACUGAAGAGAGAAGAGCCGGCGAAUGCAGUCCCUCCCCUCUCGUCCGCAAAUAAACGAUGGAAAAAGAAGGAGCCUGCGCGACGGUUAUAUUAAUUAAUAAUGUCUCUUUGAUAAUUUUCUCGACUUCAUUCCACUUGGCGACUCCUUUGAUUUAUAUAAGGAACACAAUCUAUCGCAUUACUUCAGACAAAAGGCCGAACGUUAUUUUUUUCAAUUUAAAAAUGGGGUAGACAAUAAAGAGGCCUGCGCCGUUGCCCGACAAAGGGCAACUCGCAUUUAUUGGCAGGUUAUUCGAGUUUACUUGUAAAAAGCUCUCGCUUUUUAUUUAUCGCGUUAUGAAGUGCAGAAGAAGCGAGGCUACGCGUGAUGGCUUUGUUAUAUAUAAACAGUGCAAUAAGAGCAUAAGCGAAAUGUGCUCUUUUAUUAAUACAAGACAAGUAAAAUAAAGUCAAAUAAAGCCG